GGCUCAAUGGUCUAGUGGUAUGAUUCGUGCUUCGGGUUGAUUUCUCUCCCUCGCUUGGAAACAGGCGAACAAAGAUGUGCGAGGUCUCGGGUUCGAUCCCCGAUUGAGCCC